CACAGUUCCGGGAACAGCCAGGCAUGAAGCUCCCUGCAGUGGGGACAGAGACAGGACCACCACCUGAAGGCCGCACACCCACGGCUGGCCUUGGGCCUGGAGCUCUUGCCCACAGCUGUCCUGUGGUAUCUGGUGGUGAUGGACUUUCAGGCGGAAGGACUAUCGUGUACACUAUCUUGUACGAUCAAGUACACAAAUUCGAAAUAGACAGCUGGAGGAAGCCUGUGCAGAGGCACGCAUGCCUACGACCACCACGCAAAUCAACACAGACUGUGCCCAGCGCCCCAGCCGCCCUCCCCGCGACGCCUCUGAGUUUCCAGCCCCGCCGCGCCCUGGGCAGCCGCUCUUCUGCUUCCACCCCACGUGUCAGGCUGGCGAUGCCGCCUUCAUGGCAGCGGGACAGCGAUGCAGCAUCAAGAGCAUUUUGAAGAGCUUUUGCCUCCUUUACAAGGAGUAACUUGCUUGUAAAAGUGUCUUUUGCCUUCAUGCCUGCCUUUUUCUAAGUUUGAGUGAGCCUCCAACAUCGUGAAUUAUCUCUGAAAGUUCCUUUAAUCUGAAGUUUUUUUUGCAAGCGUCACUUCCUCUGAGACAUCAUGGUCCUUUUUGUCACAACUACUUGUUUCUCAUUUAAGUUGCAAGUUUCACCUUCUCUGAGCGCCCUCGGCUGCGGGUCUAGAGUGGUGCCAGCAUUCUGCCUGCCUCCGUCUUCUGUACUCCACUGAUGUUUGAUUGGAAUUUCAAUUCCAACAUCAUAGAUUUCCAUUUCUUUUUUGCACUUUCGACUUUAUUGAUUACUGGUUAUGUAAUAUGUCAUGUGCUUGUGUAACUUGGAGGCAAAGAGGCAACACCACUGCAUGCUUUGCUGUCUUCCCAUGAAACGUGCAGCAGGUGCCCAGUGGACAAUUGCCUACAGACGCCAGAUCAAACGACCCGAUUGGUCACAGAACACGGGGUGCAGCUGCUGUUCACAUAGUGACUUGUGGACUAAAAUGAUAGCAGGGACAUUUGUAUUUUUGCAAUUACAGUUAAAUGCCAUAGUAACUAAAAUUUGAACUGUGCAACUAGGAGACUAGUAUUACUUCUCUAACUGCAGUAACAGAUUGUGAAGUAUUAGAACCACGUGAAAUGAAGCCUGCCUAUAGAAGUCUGCCCUGUUUGUUGCUAUGUACUACUCCACUGUAUGACUGUGUCAUGGUUUAUUUAUCCCUUCGCCUGCUGAUGGACAUUUGGGUUGUUUCUGUUUCUAUUAUGAACGAGGCUGCUAUGAACAUUC